rnacentral:rRNA from 1 species
UACGUAGGGUGCAAGCGUUGUCCGGAAUUAUUGGGCGUAAAGAGCUCGUAGGCGGUUUGUCGCGUCUGCUGUGAAAACUCGGGGCUUAACUCCGGGCCUGCAGUGGGUACGGGCAGGCUAGAGUUCGGUAGGGGAGACUGGAAUUCCUGGUGUAGCGGUGAAAUGCGCAGAUAUCAGGAGGAACACCGGUGGCGAAGGCAGCACUCUGGGACGGUACUGACGCUGAGACGCGAAAGCGUGGGGAGCGAACAGG